rnacentral:lncRNA from 1 species
ACACGUGUUUUAACUUAUAGAGCAGGUGAUUUGGUGCUGCUAAAGGCAGAGAAAGCCCUGAACAGCAAUUACAUAUCCCAAUUCAUCACUGAAGCAUGAUUGACAGGAGUUAAGAGGAUGCUGGAUGACUUUAAUUACCAAAGCUGUAUAAGAAAGCAGCUGAGCAAGGCACGGGCAGCAAGCCGUUUCUAGACUGAGUUAAUUGAGAUCGAAAGACCCA